rnacentral:rRNA from 1 species
UGGCCCAGAUCGUUUACCGUGAAAAAAUUAGAGUGUUCAAAGCAGGCAGAUCCAAUUUUCUGCCACCGAAUACAUUAGCAUGGGAUAAUGGAAUAGGACCCUGUCCUCCUAUUUUCAGUUGGUUUUGGCAGCGCGAGGACUAGGGUAAUGAUUAAUAGGGAUAGUUGGGGGCAUUAAUAUUUAAUUGUCAGAGGUGAAAUUCUUGGAUUUAUGAAAGAUUAACUUCUGCGAAAGCAUCUGCCAAGGAUGUUUUCAUUAAUCAAGAACGAAAGUUAGGGGAUCGAAGACGAUCAGAUACCGUCGUAGUCUUAACCAUAAACGAUGCCGACCAGCGAUUAGGAGACGUUGAAUACAAAACACCACCAUCGGUGCGGUCGUCCUUGGCGUCGGUUUCGGCCGGCGCGGGGGCGGCUUAGCCCGGUGGCACCGGUGAAUGACUCCCCUAGCAGCUUGUGAGA